rnacentral:tRNA from 1 species
GUAGCUCAGCGGAUAGAGCGGCGCCCCUUCGGGGGCAUGUCUUUCCCACACCUCGUCGCCGUGAACACUUUAAAUGCUGGCGAAUGCCGACGGGACUACAUCGGUAAAGGCCGAAAGGCCGAGCGGUUCGAUUCCGCCCCGGA